AAAAAUCUUCGUUUGUUUUCAGCAGAUGAAAGAAAGUAAAUAAUGAGAUAAUUUUUGGAUGAACUAUACUUUUAACUAAAGUCCUCCAGAUAGCAAAAUGUUCUACAUGUUGAAGCCAUUUUCCCAUACUCUUAAGAGUAAAUGUAAAAUAGUCUUUGUUUGUACAUUUACAGUUAAUUCUGACUAAAUUAAGGCGUUUAGAAAGAAAUAUAGUCACAUAGCCACCAGAUAUUUAAAAUCUUCUUAAAUUAAUCAUCAGAGGUUGCUCGUCAAACAGUUCCAAAGCGGUGCCACAUUUUGAAAGUCACUAUCCGAAUGAUGCAGUCGGCAGUAAUCUGAAAGGGGCGGAUUUGACAGAUGGAGCGCAGUUUCUUUCUUCUCCCAAUCAACCUUCACGCUGCUGGUGGUGUGAGUGACGCAGCUCGCAGUUGCUCUCUGCUUGCUGUAGUAAAAGCGCAGAGUCUGUUGUCAAGCUACAUCCAGUAUGACGGUUUGCGUCGGCUUCAUCAACGUUCUCUAUUCAUUUCAUGGAGUUUUCUUCUUCGAGUAACUGCACAGGCACCUUUUAAAUAGGUCAUCGAGACAGUAAUGAAACAAGCAGAAAUCCCAACGGCUAAUCCCAUUCAAAUGUUUAAUUUCCCUCUUGAAUGGUAAAUAAAGCUCAUUUGACAUCGCGUCAUCAUGGCAUUGCCACACACGCCCACUUACGCAUUAGAAAAGCCCAAUACCCCAGCAGAGAAUCCGUACAUUUCAAUUAUUUUUAAGGGACUUAACUAAGUACGAAUCAGAUCAGCAAUAGUUUCUAGGUUGGUUUCAUCAUUGCGUUGUUCUAAAAGCUACCGCCCAAAACUACCAGUGGCGUAAACCCGAUAUGUGAUUGCAAAUGAAACAAUCGCUCUUCCUAACAUUCGCUAUUUCAAACGCGAACCGGCAGAGAUACGGUUAAACCGUGCUCCGUUGGCCGUGUAUGGAUAUUGUGCGUGGGUUCUGUGUUGCUAGCCGGUUUGAGGGUGCAUUUUGUCUCGACCAAUCCGGCGUGGAGCUCUUGGUCCCGGCAUGCCCAAUGCGGGCAGGGGGAGGCUCCGGCCAAUUUGAAUGAAGACUGAAGCUUUCGGCGCCAUUUUCGAGUGAGCAGCUUCAGCAACAACAGCUGCUCAGAGAGGCUCCGUACUGUAGUUCAGUAAUAUGAGCGAGGGAAUACUUUGUUCUUUUUGUUUCGGACAGCAAAGGAGGGAUAUUUUUUUUCUCAACCGACCACAAAUUUCAAGCAGUUGUUUUCUAGUGACAGCGCGGGAGACACAAAGGCGAUGUGAAGUGAAAACAAAUAUUGAAGUGGAAACUGAACUGAGCUAGCAAGCUAAUCUGGCUAGCAUCUCAAAGCGAGAAGGGGCGUCCGACUGGAGCCGCGCUAUCAAACGAAACAUUAUUUUUAUUCGAUUUUUUUUUUUUUUUUUUACAAAUACACGGAUGACUUAAAAAUGUGUAAAAAUUUGAAAAAUUAGCGCAAGCGAUGAGGAAUGGAUUGGUGUGUGUUCCUUGGAUGAGAGAGGUGGUUUUGUGCAUUUUUUAAACGUGUUUGAGCGGGACUGGGAUGUGAGCGAGACGGCCGGCGAGCCCGACAGCCUAUCAGCGAGCGAUACCCCGGGAUCCUAUUUUCUUUUCUUUUUUUUUUUUUUUUUUUUCCUUUUUUUUUUCCUCGUUGAAAUAAGCAGUGGUGACCAGUGUAUCUCUCCCCCCUUUUGUUUUUUAACAUUAAAAUAUAUAAACGGUACACCGUCUGAAUUUUGCAUUGCAAACGAUUUGUUUUUAUUAUUAUUAUUUUUUUUAAUGGAUUUACGAAGAUUACGAUGUUCAGGUGUUUUAGAUGCUUCCUGUGAAGAUACCCAGUUGUAAUAUCUUAUGUGAAGCUUGCUGUGUGAGUGGAAGGAGAGAGAGAGAGGGGCAGUAAAAGAAAGGAGCUUACUGGAGGUAUCUCUACUGAUGUCGGAUUCGACACCACUUUGGAAAUCUGGUGGUAGGUUGGAUCCCAAUGUUGGAGAUAAUUUGGAGGCUGGAUGCUGUCAGUGCUGAAUCUUGGA